CUACGGGAUGCACCAGUAGGGAAUAUUGGACAAUGGGCGAAAGCCUGAUCCAGCAACACCGCGUGCACGAUGACGGCCUUCGGGUUGUAAAGUGCUUUUAGAGGAGAUGAGAAAGGACAGUAUCCUCUGAAUAAGCCUCGGCGUACUACGUGCCAGCAGCCGCGGUAAAACGUAGGAGGCAAGCGUUAUCCGGAUUUAUUGGGCGUAAAGCGCGUGCAGGCGGUCUAGCAAGUUGGAUGUGAAAGCUCCCGGCUCAACUGGGAGAGGUCGUUCAAUACUGUUAGACUAGAGAAUAGGAGAGGGAGGUGGAAUUCCGGGUGUAGUGGUGAAAUGCGUAGAUAUCCGGAGGAACACCAGUGGCGAAAGCGGCCUCCUGGACUAUUUCUGACGCUAAGACGCGAAAGCUAGGGUAGCAAACGGGAUUAGAUACCCCCGUAGUC
rnacentral:rRNA from 1 species